GAUGAAGAACGUAGCGAAAUGCGAUAAGUAGUGUGAAUUGCAGAAUUCAGUGAAUCAUCGAAUCUUUGAACGCACAUUGCGCCCCUUGGUAUUCCAUGGGGCAUGCCUGUUCGAGCGUCAUUUGUACCUUCAAGCUCUGCUUGGUGUUGGGUGUUUGUCUCGCCUCUGCGUGUAGACUCGCCUCAAAACAAUUGGCAGCCGGCGUAUUGAUUUCGGAGCGCAGUACAUCUCGCGCUUUGCACUCAUAACGACGACGUCCAAAAGUACAUUUCUACACUCUUGACCUCGGAUCAGGUAGGGAUACCCGCUGAACUUAAGCAUAUCAUAAGCGGAGGA
rnacentral:misc_RNA from 1 species